UCAGAAAUUAUGUCUGCAAUCAGGUCGGAACCAUCCUUCCAGAAAUCAAGAAGAGUCAAGAAUCUUGAGAUACGGAUCAAAUUCUAUCGGAUCGCAUCAUCUUAUAAAACAAUAAACUCUUUGGGUAGAGACAACAGUUUGUGGGUAUCUGAGCUGGAAAUCCUCACGAGAUAAAACUCGUCCACUAGAGCCACCUAGGGGUUUAAAGCCUUAUUGCAUACGGUAAAUGCAAUCGCGAUUCCUGCGAAAGUGAGUUAGUUUUUAUUUUGCUCGAGGACUAGCAAAAUAUAGGUUUGGAGAUGUGAUAAAUGCUAAAUAAUGCAUGAAUUAAUAUCUCACUCAUAGCACUUAUCAUUAUUUUUACGCAUAUAUUCUAAAUUGAAACAUAAGAAAAUUCAUUCCCCUUCAUCAUUGCAUUUUAAUAAAUUAUUAGAAAUAAAUUUAAGUUUGAUUAUUUUUAUUGAUCGAGUCUAAUGUAUGCAGGUCAAGUCAAAUUCAUUAAUUUCCCAAAUCACAUGCACCCUGCAAAUUAGAUCCUCACAGAUUUUGAUUCAGCCAUUCAUCCCAAUUUCUCUGCAUCACAUCU
rnacentral:lncRNA from 1 species